rnacentral:misc_RNA from 1 species
GAUGAAGACGCAGUGAAAUGCGAUAAGUAAUGUGAAUUGCAGAAUUCAGUGAAUCAUCGAAUCUUUGAACGCACAUUGCGCCCGCCAGUAUUCUGGCGGGCAUGCCUGUUCGAGCGUCAUUUCAACCAUCAAGCCCCCGGCUUGUGUUGGGGACCUGCGGCUGCCGCAGGCCCUGAAAAGCAGUGGCGGGCUCGCUGUCACACCGAGCGUAGUAGCAUACAUCUCGCUCUGGGCGUGCUGCGGGUUCCGGCCGUUAAACCACCUUCAUAACCCAAGGUUGACCUCGGAUCAGGUAGGAAGACCCGCUGAACUUAAGCAUAUCAAUAAGCGGAGGA